rnacentral:rRNA from 1 species
UGUUGGGUUAAGUCCCGCAACGAGCGCAACCCUUGUCCUAUGUUGCCAGCACGUAAUGGUGGGGACUCGUAGGAGACUGCCGGGGUCAACUCGGAGGAAGGUGGGGAUGACGUCAAAUCAUCAUGCCCCUUAUGUCUUGGGCUGCAAGCAUGCUACAAUGGCCGGUACAAAGGGCUGCAAUACCGCAAGGUGGAGCCAAUCCCAAAAAGCCGGUCUCAGUUCGGAUCGGGGUCUGCAACUCGACUCCAUGAAGCUGGAGUUGCUAGUAAUCCCGGAUCAGCAACGCCGGGGUGAAUACGUUCCCGGGCCUUGUACACACCGCCCGUCACACCAUGAAAGUUGGAAACGCCCGAAGCCAGUGGCCGAACCCGCAAGGGA